GACGAACGCUGGCGGCGCGCCUAACACAUGCAAGUCGAGCGAGAAAGGUCCUUCGGGGCUGAGUACAGCGGCGAACGGGUGAGUAACACGUGGGUAACCUGCCUCAGGGAGCGGGACAACCCGGGGAAACUCGGGCUAAUACCGCAUGAUUCGCACGACCCCAAGGUCGUGCGGGAAAAGGUAGCUUCGGCCUCCGCCCUGAGAUGGGCCCGCGGCGCAUUAGCUUGUUGGUGGGGUAACGGCCCACCAAGGCGACGAUGCGUAGCUGGUCUGGGAGGACGAUCAGCCACACUGGGACUGAGACACGGCCCAGACUCCUACGGGAGGCAGCAGUGGGGAAUCUUGCGCAAUGGGCGAAAGCCUGACGCAGCGACGCCGCGUGGGGGAAGAAGGCCCUCGGGUUGUAAACCCCUUUCAGUGGGUACGAGGCCGGCUGGGUUAAUAGCCCUGCCCGGUGACGGUACCCGCAGAAGAAGCCCCGGCUAACUACGUGCCAGCAGCCGCCGUAAUAC
rnacentral:rRNA from 1 species